rnacentral:lncRNA from 1 species
GUGGAGAAAUAGGUGCCACAAGAUAGGAGAUUGAGCAUCCAGGACACCUUGAUCCACCCCAUAAAGGACGCACAGAUGCCCUUGCUGUCUUCCAGACCAGAACUCCAACAAUAGCUGCCCAUGAACCCAAGAAGGAGGUAAAGAAUUGAUGCCACCAUCAUGGCAACUCUUACAUAAUUUGGUGACUCAAGCUCCAUAAUUACAGGGAUGAAUGUGAUUAUGCCCACAGAACCAUUAACAGCAUUCACACGAAUUGCAUAGAGUAGCAUUGAGCAGAUUGGUUCCAUGUAACUAUCAUCUUGGAUGAGGGUUGUAUCCUUAGCUUUUGAGUUUCAUUCCCAGUAUCCUUGCUUGCCUUCUAUUGGUAAAUGCUUGAGAACAUAGUAUAUGAGCAAAGAACGAUGACACAGAGGAUUAAUAUGAUAGACAAUGAUCCACAUGGUGGUAUUUGCCAUCUUCAGAGUCAAGUGAUUAACUUGCAUCUAGAUAGCCUUUGAGUAGAACCAUAGCACAACAGACUCUUGAGAGGGGCUAAGCUAUUCCGAAGGAUGAAGAUUGUAUUUGCUUCCUCAUCCAUCAGAAUU